rnacentral:rRNA from 1 species
CAGUCGCCGCGGUAAUACAGAGGGUGCAAGCGUUAAUCGGAUUUACUGGGCGUAAAGCGUGCGUAGGUGGUGGUUUAAGUCCGUUGUGAAAGCCCUGGGCUCAACCUGGGAAUUGCAGUGGAUACUGGGUCACUAGAGUGUGGUAGAGGAUAGUGGAAUUUCCGGUGUAGCAGUGAAAUGCGUAGAUAUGCGGAGGAACACCGAUGGCGAAGGCAAUCCCCUGGGCCUGCACUGACGCUCAUGCACGAAAGCGUGGGGAGCAAACAGGAUUAGAUACCCCUGUAGUCCCUGUCUCUUAUAC